rnacentral:rRNA from 11 species
GAGUGAGGCCUAAAUACCCUAAAGGCACCAGAGAUUCUUCUCCUUUUGGAAGCUAAGCAGGGUGAAACCUGGCUAGUUUUUGCAUGGGAAAGCACUAAGAAAUACCAGGUGCUGUAGGCU